UCAAUUACAGAUUAACUUACUAACGCUACUAAUUAAGCGUUUCCGUCGCCGAGACUAAUAACUAGAUUUCACAUGAAGAUUUAUUGAUUGAAAAAAUUCGUCUCUUGAUAGAUUUCGUAAACGAUCGGCAGUCAAGUUAUUAUAGAGUUUUUACUUUUUUAAUAAAAACUCACCAUCAUAACCCGACACAUAUAGAACUCUCACAUUAAAAGUAAUAGAAAAUAUAUACAAAAGAAAAAAAAAAAAGGAUUAAAGUAGAAUUCGAGAUAAGUCGAGUAAGGCAUCACGUAAGGAGGUACCAAUUUGCGAAUUAGAAAACAAAACCCCUUCAUAUAACAACAAAUGGUAAAUAACGCCAUUAAAUAACACUAAACGUCACAACUCAUACAAUUUUAUCGUUUUUGGACUGGCGUUCAACAAUGUCUUCGCCCAAUGCUGCUAAUGUAUGAAUUGAUGCUCGUGGAAAUGAUUGACUAUUCGGAAAUGCGUUUAUGUCUGAUGUCGUAUGAGAUGAAUGUGUUGUAUGCUCUUGAUCCUCGACUGAUAACUCGUCUAUGCGUUGACUUUUUGCAUCUUCAGACACCAUUUUCAGUAUCUUUGAUAUUGACGGUGUAAUGCAAUCACUAGCUCGACGGCGAUUUGGAGAAUCAAUUUCGGUCAAUUGGAAAGUAGGGCGUGGCCGAGGACCAGUGGAGGCUCUUCUUGGAGUAAGAGGCAUUUUCAUUGGAUUCAUACCUUGGGCCAACGAAAAUAUUAACGCUUCUUCUUUUUCAUCCCAACCAGGCAAGUGCCCUUGGUGAGCAGACUCAUCAACGGCGGAUAUGGAACGACCAACGGCAGACAGGUUCGCUAGAGCCGAAGCUGCAUCCUCCUCCUUCCUAGUUGAAAUACUGUUACGCUUGGAAGAAGAAUGUUGUUCAAGCUUUGGUUCAUAGUAAUCCUCCUGCUUUAUGGUAUCCUGGCUAAUAUCCAUAGGCUCGUCCUGUGUCGGCGUUUUCUCAUGAACGGAUUCUUUGAUUUGCAGUAAUGUGUUAUUCCCUUCAUUUUCAGCUGUAUCAUAAACGUCAACAUCAUGUUUGAAACCAGACACAGUCUCGCUCUUAUCGGUCAUAUCAAUAGACAUAGGGUCAGGCUCUUGAGCUCCUUUUUCAAUUUCAUAAGCACUAUUCCCUUCAACCAAAGACUUUAUUUUUUCAUCCAUUUGUUCAUCAGCAUUGUGAUUAUUAACAUUCUCAUUCGCAGAUUCAACAUUUUCAACAGAGGGCGUAUUAUCCCAAGUAUUCAUAUUAUCAGCAGUGACGGAAGCUUCUUGAAAUUGAUUAUUGAUAUUCUCUUCCGUUUUAUUAAUAUCCGCAGCUUCAAUAUCAACCAUAAGAGCAGAACCCUUGGACUUUUUCUUUCCACCUCUUUGAGAAGGAAGGAGCUUUUUUCGCCGACGACCCUUAGUUUUUGUUGCAGAUGCUACCAAAGCUCGAUAGUCAGUUGUCCUUUUUGUCAGAUAAUAAUGUAAUACACAUUCUUUAGAGUUUUUUCCUGGCACUGCCUCUGCGAUUUUACCAAAUUUUUUUCCAUGUAAAAUAAAUUGCUGAACGAAAAUGGAAUGCUGUUCUUCAUUCCAUAUGUCAGGCAUACUUUGAAAGUGAUAGAAUUUAGGACAAUCUGUUACUAACCGGCUCUGAUCAUUAAAGUAUUGACUUUUCACUUCUUCUUCUGAAAGUAUCAUAGGAGGAAUAGUAGCAAUUCGAGAGGCCUCAGAUACAUUGCUUGCUUCUUUUUCUUGCUGCUCGAGCUUUGCUAAAAUCUCCAAAAACUCUUCUUCGGAACGAACUAUAUCACCAGCUGUAAAGUUGCUCAUCACUUUACGUGUACUUCGUUUGAUAAACGGUUCCGAUUUUUUAGCAUUCUUAGUUUUGUCUAUUUCAGUCAAUCUGUCAACCCGAGCAAUAUUUUCCUCCCACCGACCUAACACUUGUUUCCAAUGGCUCUGUAAACGCUUUAUUUUCUUAUUAAGUACAUGGCGUCUUUUUCUCAUUACGCCGACAAUCGUCUGCUUAUCACGUUGAAACUUUUCUCUAUUGAGAUUGUAAAAGCUAUAAUCCUCAACAUUUUUGAAAAGCUGAUUUUGGGUCAAGGCAUAGAUAUUUUGAAGGUAUUUUUCUUGAAGAGCUUUUGUAUCUUGGCUUUCUUGCAAGAUGUCAGUGAGCUUUUCAGAAUUGGUAGGAGAUUGUGUAAUAGAAGUAUUUGUAUCGGAAUCCUCGUUGUUCAUGUCACCAACGGGCGGUUCAGAAGGAAGAAGUCCCAAAGUGUAUCGAGACAUGUUUCGUAAAACAUCUGGAUGUUCUGCCACCUCCGGGGUAGUCAAAUCCAUCGUUCAAAAAUGAACUUGAUUAAAAGAAACUGUAAAAAGAAUCUUUAAUAAUCAAACUUCAGGUCCCGCUUAGUAUGCCGAUAUGUGUGGUGGAAAGGUAAACCAUUUAGGGUAUGCCAUCUUUAAAUGUCAGAGGAGGCACUACAGCUUAUUUCGAAGUGAAUAUCAUAAUUUGC
rnacentral:lncRNA from 1 species